AGAAAACCAAAAGUACAAAAACAACAAGCAAAAUCAAUCACUCUGUCCACCGUCCUGCAUAUGGGUAUCAAAGUUAAUCAUAUAUGUCGGAUCCAACAUAGUUUGCCCUCGUGCGAAGGCAGAGAUAGGCGUCAACGUCUCUGUGUGGCCCGACGGAGACUGCUGCUGUUGAGGAGGUGUCUGGUGCGGUGGCUGCUGCGGUGGCUGCUGCGGAAUCUCUCCCCCUAUUUGAAC
rnacentral:lncRNA from 1 species